AUGGCUACUAUUCUUAAUAAAACUUGCCUUAUGCGUUCCUUCAUCUUUGUGAUUUGUUGUUGUAAUUCUUUGUCAAUUGUUUUGUGCUUGCUCAGUCUAAUUCUCAGUUCAUUCCAACAGUUCUAGUUGGUAAUGUGGUCGACACUAGGUUCAUGUUUUUCCAGUCUCUCACUAAUAUGCCGUCAAUCAUAAAACUCAUCACGCCCCAAUGAAAUCUUGCAUUUAUCGGAAUUGAAAAGAUUACAGCAAAAACAAAACACUUUUUUCAUGUUUUGA
rnacentral:rRNA from 1 species